GGUCAAGUGAAGAAGCGCAUACGGUGGAUGCUUGGCAGUCAGAGGCGAUGAAAGACGUGGUAGCCUGCGAAAAGCUUCGGGGAGUCGGCAAACAGACUUUGAUCCGGAGAUGUCUGAAUGGGGGAACCCAGCCAUCAUAAGAUGGUUAUCUUGUACUGAAUACAUAGGUGCAAGAAGCGAACCAGGGGAACUGAAAACAUCUAAGUAACCCUGAGGAAAAGAAAUCAACCGAAGAUUCCCUUAGUAGUGGCGAGCGAACGGGAC
rnacentral:rRNA from 1 species